UCAUCUCGCCUGCCAAGCCACAUCCAGCGCACACUGCGUCUGCCAAGCCACGCCCACGUCCAGCACAGCCAGCUCGGCCGGCACAUCCUGCAUGGCCGUGCCCAGCACAGUUUCGUCCGGCGCCUGCCAAGACAGCCCAUCCACAGAAACCCACCAAACCGUUGCCACCGUUGGACCCGUGGCGAGCCUCCUGAACUGUGCCGCUGCCACUUUCCAUGUGGCCGGCUCUCUGAUCUGCUCCGUGUCAUGAUCUGGGUGGGUACCUGCAGGUCUCCAACAGCGGCUCCUCCUCCUUUAGGCGGAGAUAGGUUGCUCCUCCCUGGCUGACCACCUGUGGGCAAUUAUUCCGGCAGCAUAUUAGACCUGCGCUCUCAACCGUUCAUCGCCUGAGUAUCUGCUAUCCCAUAGGUAGCUCCUGGAGUGGAGGUCUCGCCUCCCUCAUUCCCGCUUUCCUGGACCUGGGCCACCUGCUGCUGAUACGAUGUUGCCAACUGGUCCACCACUCGCUUGCCUGCCUCCCCACGUCACGACCGCAUCCGGGCCUUCCGCCCUAUCCGUCCCCUCCACCUGAAACCAAUGCCCCGGCCACUUCCUAGUCCAGUUUCCACCUCCCCACAGCCUCUGUUGUUCAGCUGCAUCCUAGAGUUGUCUAGGUCACUCUUAGUUACCUUAGGUUUUACUGCGCGCCACUAGUGUGGUGGCGUCGUUUUGUUUUCGCUUAUGUUUACUUGUGGGUGGAAAUAAAUCCUUUGUUCACUUACCGUCUCGCUUCCGGUUUGGUUUCUGCACUUGUGUCCAUCUCAGUUACCU